rnacentral:rRNA from 1 species
UACUCGUGCUAGGGAUAAACGCUGCGGCGCACAUAAGACAUGCAAGUCGAACGAACUUAACUCAUCUUUUUAGAUUGAGAGCGGUUAGUGGCGGACUGGUGAGUAACACGUAAGCAACCUGCCUAUCAGAGGGGAAUAACAGUGAGAAAUCAUUGCUAAUACCGCAUAAGCUAGUAGUAUCACAUGAUACAGCUAGAAAAGGAGUAAUCCGCUGAUAGAUGGGCUUGCGCCUGAUUAGCUAGUUGGUGGGGUAACGGCCUACCAAGGCGACGAUCAGUAGCCGAACUGAGAGGUUGAACGGCCACAUUGGGACUGAGAUACGGCCCAGACUCCUACGGGAGGCAGCAGUCGGGAAUAUUGCGCAAUGGAGGAAACUCUGACGCAGUGACGCCGCGUAUAGGAAGAAGGCUUUCGGAUUGUAAACUAUUGUCGUGAGGGAAGAAGAUGACAGUACCUCAGGAGGAAGCUCCGGCUAACUAUGUG